rnacentral:rRNA from 1 species
UACGUAGGGGGCAAGCGUUGUCCGGAAUUAUUGGGCGUAAAGAGCGCGUAGGCGGUCCGAUAAGUCGGCUGUGAAAGUCAGGGGCUCAACCCUUGGAAGCCGGCCGAUACUGUCGGACUAGAGUCCGGAAGAGGCGAGUGGAAUUCCCGGUGUAGCGGUGAAAUGCGCAGAUAUCGGGAGGAACACCGGUGGCGAAGGCGGGUCGCUGG